UAGGGAAUAUUGGGCAAUGGAGGAGACUCUGACCCAGCCAUGCCGCGUGCAGGAAGAAGGCCUUCUGGGUUGUAAACUGCUUUUGAUCGGGAACAAAAAGAUCUUGCGAGAUAAAUUGAGUGUACCGAUAGAAUAAGCACCGGCUAACUCCGUGCCAGCAGCCGCGGUAAUACGGAGGGUGCAAGCGUUGUCCGGAUUUAUUGGGUUUAAAGGGUGCGUAGGCGGCCAAUUAAGUCAGUGGUGAAAUACUAUAGCUCAACUAUAGGACUGCCAAUGAUACUGUUUGGCUUGAGUACAGACGAGGUAGGCGGAAUUGAUGGUGUAGCGGUGAAAUGCAUAGAUACCAUCAAGAACACCGAUUGCGAAGGCAGCUUACUAGGCUGUAACUGACGCUGAGGCACGAAAGCGUGGGGAUCGAACAGGAUUAGAUACCCUGGUAGUCCACGCUGUAAACGAUGAUUACUCGAUGUGUGCGAUAGACAGUAC
rnacentral:rRNA from 1 species